AUGAAAAACAAUAAAUUAGAGGUGGUGGGCUGUUGAUGCAGCUGCAAGGAGAAAGAAUAGUGGCACGGUGAGUGAUGUUACUACCAUCAGAGAAGAAGGAGCAAUUGGCAACAAGUUGACGACUUCAGUCAAAAGAAUGGAGAGCUCCGAGAUCCUAUCGUCGGUGGUAUAGCAGAGGUAAAUUUUCUUCUUUAAAAGCAUAAAUUUUUUUUCUUUUUUCUUUUUUUCUUUUUAAAAAAAUUACAGAAAAUGCUAUUUGGGUUCUGAAUGCAACGAGAGGAAACGCCGGAGCUCCGGUGCAAUGUUUUGGAACAACCUCCCUGGCAAAGCUCAAGGUGUGAAACUUGCUGGCAGGGUGCUCCGGCUAAAGCUGCGCCUGCCAAAACGAAAUUGCAUAAGAGGUUAGUCAGAAAAAGCAACAAGCUCCGAGUGAAGGCCAAUCAAGUGGCACCCUCAGUUGAAUUGGUUAGGUAAAUAUCUUUUGGAAAAAAUAUUGAACAUGAUGUAUUUUGUUUGGGUAAAGUACUAAAUUGGUCCCCUAGGUUUGGGCGUAAUUCUGUUUUGGUCCUUAAGGUUUAAAGUGU